rnacentral:rRNA from 1 species
AACUACGUGCCAGCAGCCGCGGUAAUACGUAGGGGGCAAGCGUUACUCGGAUUUACUGGGCGUAAAGCGAAUGUAGGCUGUUAUGUAAGUCAGUGGUGAAAUCCCUCAGCUCAACUGAGGAACUGCCUUUGAUACUGCAUGACUUGAGGACAGGAGAGGAAAGUGGAAUUCCCGGUGUAGCGGUGGAAUGCGUAGAUAUCGGGAGG